rnacentral:rRNA from 1 species
CGAAUGGGGAAACCCAGUGUGUUUCGACACACUAUCAUUAACUGAAUCCAUAGGUUAAUGAGGCGAACCGGGGGAACUGAAACAUCUAAGUACCCCGAGGAAAAGAAAUCAACCGAGAUUCCCCCAGUAGCGGCGAGCGAACGGGGAGGAGCCCAGAGCCUGAAUCAGUGUGUGUGUUAGUGGAAGCGUCUGGAAAGGCGCGCGAUACAGGGUGACAGCCCCGUACACAAAAAUGCACAUGCUGUGAGCUCGAUGAGUAGGGCGGGACACGUGGUAUCCUGUCUGAAUAUGGGGGGACCAUCCUCCAAGGCUAAAUACUCCUGACUGACCGAUAGUGAACCAGUACCGUGAGGGAAAGGCGAAAAGAACCCCGGCGAGGGGAGUGAAAAAGAACCUGAAACCGUGUACGUACAAGCAGUGGGAGCCUCUUAAUGGGGUGACUGCGUACCUUUUGUAUAAUGGGUCAGCGACUUAUAUUCUGUAGCAAGGUUAACCGAAUAGGGGAGCCGAAGGGAAACCGAGUCUUAACUGGGCGUUAAGUUGCAGGGUAUAGACCCGAAACCCGGUGAUCUAGCCAUGGGCAGGUUGAAGGUUGGGUAACACUAACUGGAGGACCGAACCGACUAAUGUUGAAAAAUUAGCGGAUGACUUGUGGCUGGGGGUGAAAGGCCAAUCAAACCGGGAGAUAGCUGGUUCUCCCCGAAAGCUAUUUAGGUAGCGCCUCGUGAAUUCAUCUCCGGGGGUAGAGCACUGUUUCGGCAAGGGGGUCAUCCCGACUUACCAACCCGAUGCAAACUGCGAAUACCGGAGAAUGUUAUCACGGGAGACACACGGCGGGUGCUAACGUCCGUCGUGAAGAGGGAAACAACCCAGACCGCCAGCUAAGGUCCCAAAGUCAUGGUUAAGUGGGAAACGAUGUGGGAAGGCCCAGACAGCCAGGAUGUUGGCUUAGAAGCAGCCAUCAUUUAAAGAAAGCGUAAUAGCUCACUGGUCGAGUCGGCCUGCGCGGAAGAUGUAACGGGGCUAAACCAUGCACCGAAGCUGCGGCAGCGACACUAUGUGUUGUUGGGUAGGGGAGCGUUCUGUAAGCCUGUGAAGGUGGCCUGUGAGGGUUGCUGGAGGUAUCAGAAGUGCGAAUGCUGACAUAAGUAACGAUAAAGCGGGUGAAAAGCCCGCUCGCCGGAAGACCAAGGGUUCCUGUCCAACGUUAAUCGGGGCAGGGUGAGUCGACCCCUAAGGCGAGGCCGAAAGGCGUAGUCGAUGGGAAACAGGUUAAUAUUCCUGUACUUGGUGUUACUGCGAAGGGGGGACGGAGAAGGCUAUGUUGGCCGGGCGACGGUUGUCCCGGUUUAAGCGUGUAGGCUGGUUUUCCAGGCAAAUCCGGAAAACCAAGGCUGAGGCGUGAUGACGAGGCACUACGGUGCUGAAGUGACAAAUGCCCUGCUUCCAGGAAAAGCCUCUAAGCAUCAGGUAACAUCAAAUCGUACCCCAAACCGACACAGGUGGUCAGGUAGAGAAUACCAAGGCGCUUGAGAGAACUCGGGUGAAGGAACUAGGCAAAAUGGUGCCGUAACUUCGGGAGAAGGCACGCUGAUAUGUAGGUGAAGCGACUUGCUCGUGGAGCUGAAAUCAGUCGAAGAUACCAGCUGGCUGCAACUGUUUAUUAAAAACACAGCACUGUGCAAACACGAAAGUGGACGUAUACGGUGUGACGCCUGCCCGGUGCCGGAAGGUUAAUUGAUGGGGUUAGCGGUAACGCGAAGCUCUUGAUCGAAGCCCCGGUAAACGGCGGCCGUAACUAUAACGGUCCUAAGGUAGCGAAAUUCCUUGUCGGGUAAGUUCCGACCUGCACGAAUGGCGUAAUGAUGGCCAGGCUGUCUCCACCCGAGACUCAGUGAAAUUGAACUCGCUGUGAAGAUGCAGUGUACCCGCGGCAAGACGGAAAGACCCCGUGAACCUUUACUAUAGCUUGACACUGAACAUUGAGCCUUGAUGUGUAGGAUAGGUGGGAGGCUUUGAAGUGUGGACGCCAGUCUGCAUGGAGCCGACCUUGAAAUACCACCCUUUAAUGUUUGAUGUUCUAACGUUGGCCCCUAAUCGGGGUUGCGGACAGUGUCUGGUGGGUAGUUUGACUGGGGCGGUCUCCUCCUAAAGAGUAACGGAGGAGCACGAAGGUUGGCUAAUCCUGGUCGGACAUCAGGAGGUUAGUGCAAUGGCAUAAGCCAGCUUGACUGCGAGCGUGACGGCGCGAGCAGGUGCGAAAGCAGGUCAUAGUGAUCCGGUGGUUCUGAAUGGAAGGGCCAUCGCUCAACGGAUAAAAGGUACUCCGGGGAUAACAGGCUGAUACCGCCCAAGAGUUCAUAUCGACGGCGGUGUUUGGCACCUCGAUGUCGGCUCAUCACAUCCUGGGGCUGAAGUAGGUCCCAAGGGUAUGGCUGUUCGCCAUUUAAAGUGGUACGCGAGCUGGGUUUAGAACGUCGUGAGACAGUUCGGUCCCUAUCUGCCGUGGGCGCUGGAGAACUGAGGGGGGCUGCUCCUAGUACGAGAGGACCGGAGUGGACGUAUCACUGGUGUUCGGGUUGUCAUGCCAAUGGCACUGCCCGGUAGCUAAAUGCGGAAGAGAUAAGUGCUGAAAGCAUCUAAGCACGAAACUUGCCCCGAGAUGAGUUCUCCCUGAGACUUAGAGUCUCCUGAAGGAACGUUGAAGACGACGACGUUGAUAGGCCGGGUGUGUAAGCGCAGCGAUGCGUUGAGCUAACCGGUACUAAUGAACCGUGAGGCUUAACCUUACAACGCCGAAG